UACGGGGGGGGCAAGCGUUGUUCGGAAUUACUGGGCGUAAAGGGCUCGUAGGUGGCCAACUAAGUCAGACGUGAAAUCCCUCAGCUUAACUGGGGAACUGCGUCUGAUACUGGAUGGCUUGAGAUUGGGAGAGGGAUGCGGAAUUCCAGGUGUAGCGGUGAAAUGCGUAGAUAUCUGGAGGAACACCGGUGGCGGAGGCGGCAUCCUGGACCAACACUGACACUGAGGAGCGAAAGCCAGGGGAGCAAACGGG
rnacentral:rRNA from 1 species